UGGGGGAUAUUGCACAAUGGGCGAAAGCCUGAUGCAGCGACGCCGCGUGGGGGAUGAAGGCCUUCGGGUUGUAAACUUCUUUUGCUCUGAACAAGGCAUGCUAAUGGGUGUGUUGAGUGUAGGGGUUGAUUAGCGCCGGCUAACUACGUGCCAGCAGCCGCGGUAAUACGUAGGGCGCGAGCGUUGUCCGGAAUUAUUGGGCGUAAAGGGCUUGCAGGUGGCUGGUUGCGUCUGUCGUGAAAGCUCAUGGCUUAACUGUGGGUUUGCGGUGGGUACGGGCUGGCUUGAGUGCAGUAGGGGAGGCUGGAAUUCCUGGUGUAGCGGUGGAAUGCGCAGAUAUCAGGAGGAAUACCGGUGGCGAAGGCGGGUCUCUGGGCUGUUACUGACACUGAGGAGCGAAAGCAUGGGGAGCGAACAGG
rnacentral:rRNA from 1 species